AACCGUCGCCCCAUAGUCUGGGAUACCACUUGGAAACAGGUGCUAAUACCGGAUAAGAAAGCAGAUCGCAUGAUCAGCUUUUAAAAGGCGGCGUAAGCUGUCGCUAUGGGAUGGCCCCCGCGGUGCAUUAGCUAGUUGGUAAGGUAAAGGCUUACCAAGGCGAUGAUGCAUAGCCGAGUUGAGAGACUGAUCGGCCACAUUGGGACUGAGACACGGCCCAAACUCCUACGGGAGGCAGCAGCG
rnacentral:rRNA from 1 species